rnacentral:rRNA from 1 species
GACGAACGCUGGCGGCGUGCUUAACACAUGCAAGUCGAACGGAGUGGCGAACGGGUGAGUAACAAGUGGGUGACCCGCCUCGCACUUCGGGAUAAGCGUGGGAACUUGGGUUUAAUGACGGUUAGUGGGGGAUGGGCUCGCGGCCUAUCAGCUUGUUGGUGGGGUAAUGGCCUACCAAGGCGGCGACGGGUAGCCGGCCUGAGAGGGUGGCCGGCCACAUUGGGACUGAGAUACGGCCCAGACUCCUACGGGAGGCAGCAGUGGGGAAUAUUGCACAAUGGGGGGAAGCCUGAUGCAGCGACGCCGCGUGGGGGAUGACGGCCUUCGGGUUGUAAACUCCUUUCAGCCACGACGCGGUAGUUGCAGAAGAAGCACCGGCUAACUACGUGCCAGCAGCCGCGGUAAUAC